rnacentral:lncRNA from 1 species
GCAGUGCUCCUCAUCGUUGGUGAGAAGGGGCGGCCACGGUGCAGACAGUCGCAGUGCUCCUCGUCGUCAGUGAGAAGGGGCGGCCACGGUGCAGACAGUCGCAGUGCUCCUCGUCGUCGGUGAGAAGGGGCGGCCACGGUGCAGACGGUCGCAGUGCUCCUCAUCGUCGGUGAGAAGGGGCUCCCACGAUCCAGACAGUCGCAGUGCUACUCAUCGUCGGUGAGAAGGGGCGGCCACGGUGCAGACAGUCGCAGUGCUCCUCAUCGUCGGUGAGAAGGGGCGGCCACGGUGCAGACAGUCGCAGUGCUCCUCGUCGUCGGUGAGAAGGGGCGGCCACGGUGCAGACAGUCGCAGUGCUCCUCGUCGUCAGUGAGAAGGGGCGGCCAUGGUGCAGACGGUCGCAGUGCUCUUCGUCGUCGGUGAGAAGGGGCGGCCACGGUGCAGACGGUCGCAGUGCUCC